rnacentral:rRNA from 1 species
CACACUGGGACUGAGACACGGCCCAGACUCCUACGGGAGGCAGCAGUGGGGAAUAUUGCACAAUGGGCGCAAGCCUGAUGCAGCGACGCCGCGUGAGGGAUGACGGCCUUCGGGUUGUAAACCUCUUUCAGUAGGGAAGAAGCGUAAGUGACGGUACCUGCAGAAGAAGCGCCGGCUAACUACGUGCCAGCAGCCGCGGUAAUACGUAGGGCGCAAGCGUUAUCCGGAAUUAUUGGGCGUAAAGAGCUCGUAGGCGGUUUGUCGCGUCUGCUGUGAAAGACCGGGGCUCAACUCCGGUUCUGCAGUGGGUACGGGCAGACUAGAGUGCAGUAGGGGAGACUGGAAUUCCUGGUGUAGCGGUGAAAUGCGCAGAUAUCAGGAGGAACACCGAUGGCGAAGGCAGGUCUCUGGGCUGUAACUGACGCUGAGGAGCGAAAGCAUGGGGAGCGAACAGGAUUAGAUACCCUGGUAGUCCAUGCCGUAAACGUUGGGCACUAGGUGUGGGGGACAUUCCACGUUUUCCGCGCGCGUAGCUAAAGCAUUAAGUGCCCC